rnacentral:rRNA from 1 species
AUGAUCAGAAAGCUACACAAAGCGAAGCAGCCUACAAUUCUGCUUAAGUUGGAUAUAGCGAAGGCCUUCGACUCGCUCUCCUGGCCCUACAUCCUGGACAUGCUCGAGGCGUGGGGCUUUGGCGCGCGUUGGCGCGAGUGGAUUGCCAUGUUGCUCCGGACAUCCACGUCACGGGUGAUUUUAAACGGGCAACUCACUGACACCAUACAACACCGACAAGGGCUAAGGCAAGGCGAUUCGCUCUUCCCGUUCCUGUUCAUCCUGGCAAUGGACCCGCUACAAAAGAUGCUGAGCCUUGCAACGGCGCGUGGCCUGCUCACCAAGCUGCCUGGUCGAUCUCCUGUAAUGCGCUGCUCCUUCUAUGCGGAUGAUGUCGCCAUGAUCAUGAACCCCAACGUAAAUGAC